rnacentral:rRNA from 1 species
CACGCCCUAAACGAUGCUCACUAGGUGUUGGGGAAGCGAUUCCUUGGUACCGUAGCUAACGCGUGAAGUGAGCCGCCUGGGGAGUACGGCCGCAAGGUUAAAACUCAAAGGAAUUGACGGGGACCCGCACAAGCGGUGGAUGAUGUGGAUUAAUUCGAUGCAACGCGAACAACCUUACCUACCCUUGACAUGUCCGAGAGCCUGCUGAAAGGUGGGUGUGCCCGAAAGGGAAUCGGAACACAGGUGC